AAGCACUGCCUUUGAACCUGAUAUGUCUUGUUUGUAGCUUCACGGGCCAUGCAACAGUGCUAGAGCAUAACGACUUGUUAUAACUGGGGCUCUUCAGCUCUCAACUGAACUGCUCUUUUAAAAACAAGGUACAUUU
ensembl:snoRNA